rnacentral:rRNA from 1 species
AACGUAGGACGCAAGCGUUAUCCGGAGUUACUGGGCGUAAAGCGCGGGCAGGCGGCUCGAAACGUCUGAUGUGAAAUCUCCUCGCUCAACGGGGAGAGGCCAUUGGAAACGGUCGAGCUGGAGGACAGUAGAGGUAGGCGGAAUUCCGGGUGGAGUGGUGAAAUGCGUAGAGAUCCGGAGGAACACCAGAGGCGAAGGCGGCCUACUGGGCUGCACCUGACGCUGAGCCGCGAAAGCCAGGGGAGCGAACGGG